GCAUAUCAAUAAGCGGAGGAAAAGAAACCAACAGGGAUUGCCUUAGUAACGGCGAGUGAAGCGGCAACAGCUCAAAUUUGAAAGCUGGCCCUUUUAGGGUCCGCGUUGUAAUUUGUAGAGGAUGAUUCGGCGAGGGCUCCUGCCUAAGUCCCCUGGAACGGGGCGUCAUAGAGGGUGAGAAUCCCGUAUGCGGUAGGUUGCCUUAGCCAUGUGAAUCUCCUUCGACGAGUCGAGUUGUUUGGGAAUGCAGCUCUAAAUGGGAGGUAAAUUUCUUCUAAAGCUAAAUACUGGCCAGAGACCGAUAGCGCACAAGUAGAGUGAUCGAAAGAUGAAAAGCACUUUGGAAAGAGAGUUAAAAAGUACGUGAAAUUGUUGAAAGGGAAGCGCUUGCAACCAGACUUGUCCGCAGUUGCUCAGCCGGUCUCCUGACCGGCGUACUCUUCUGCGGCCAGGCCAGCAUCAGUUCGGGCGGUCGGAUAAAGGCCUCGGGAAUGUAGCUCCUCUCGGGGAGUGUUAUAGCCCGGGGUGGAAUGCGACCAGCCUGGACUGAGGAUCUCGCUUCGGCAAGGAUGCUGGCGUAAUGGUUGUAAGCGGCC
rnacentral:rRNA from 1 species